CCUGUGCCUGCCUCUUCCAUU
rnacentral:miRNA from 3 species